UACAGAGGGGGCAAGCGUUGUUCGGAAUUACUGGGCGUAAAGGGCGCGUAGGCGGCCUUCUAAGUCGAACGUGAAAUCCCCGGGCUCAACCCGGGAACUGCGUCCGAUACUGGAAGGCUUGAAUCCGGGAGAGGGAUGUGGAAUUCCAGGUGUAGCGGUGAAAUGCGUAGAUAUCUGGAGGAACACCGGUGGCGAAGGCGGCAUCCUGGACCAACACUGACACUGAGGAGCGAAAGCCAGGGGAGCAAACAGG
rnacentral:rRNA from 1 species